GACGAACGCUGGCGGCGUGCUUAACACAUGCAAGUCGAACGAAGUGGCGAACGGGUGAGUAACGCGUAAUCAACCUGCCCUUCAGAGGGGGACAACAGUUGGAAACGACUGCUAAUACCGCAUACUGAAUGCGGGGAUUGCGUCUGAUUAGCUAGUUGGAGGGGUAACGGCCCACCAAGGCGAUGAUCAGUAGCCGGUCUGAGAGGAUGAACGGCAAAAUUGGGACUGCGAAACGGCCCAGACUCCUACGGGAGGCAGCAGUGGGGAAUCUUCCGCAAUGGACGAAAGUCGGACGGAGCAACGCCGCGUGAGUGAUGACGGCCUUCGGGUUGUAAAACUCUGUUGUUAGAGAAGCGGUAUCUAACCAGAAAGCCACGGCUAACUACGUGCCAGCAGCCGCGGUAAUUC
rnacentral:rRNA from 1 species